UGGCUGACCUCGAAUCAGGCGGG
rnacentral:rRNA from 1 species